AGGUGAUCUCGUGUUCGUAUUUUAGCCAAUCAGCGCUCAGAAAGGGUUGUCCAAAUAGAAAUCCAUUUUGAUGUAAUCAUUCAAUUAUAUCUUUCGUUAUUCUUUGUGAAAUUAGUUGAAAUUUUGUAAUUAUGUUUGGUUAUGAGAACUAUAGCUCUGACAAAAAUAUGGAAUCGAAAUAAAGUAUAUUACAGGAGAUAUUCAGUUGUUUUAAUCACAAAAUGGAUUUCUAUUUGACAACUAGUGCCAGUACUUUUCCGCGUAUCAAGAUCACCUG